rnacentral:rRNA from 1 species
UACGUAGGGGGCAAGCGUUGUCCGGAAUCAUUGGGCGUAAAGAGCGUGUAGGCGGUUCGGUAAGUCGGCUGUGAAAGUCCAGGGCUCAACCCUGGGAUGCCGGUCGAUACUGCCGGACUAGAGUUCGGAAGGGGCGAGUGGAAUUCCUGGUGCAGCGGUGAAAUGCGCAGAUAUCAGGAGGAACACCAAUGGCGAAGGCAGCUCGCUGGAACGGUACUGACGCUGAGGCGCGAAAGCGUGGGGAGCGAACAGG